UAAAUGGCUACUGAUAGAAUAUUUAUUCCGUGACAUAGCUAUGUUUAUUCUAAUGUUACCAAUGUUAUAUAUCUGACGUAACCAGAUCAAUGUUACAACAAUGGGAUCGAAAGUGUCUAUGUGAAACUCGAGAUGAAUGUACGUCAUUCUCUCCAUUUUCAAGCAAGGAGGCAGCAAUGAUCACAUUUGUUGAUACACGGUAAUAACUGUUAUUUGACGUGUUUAAACACGAGUCAUAUAGUAUAGCAAUCAUGUAUCUGGCUGUAUCGCGUACCCUGUGUAUGGUGUCGUCCCGACAGACUGCGGGGACAAGGUGAGUUGUAACAUGCAUCGUGUGCAUAGCUAGCAACGUUGUUGCAGCAGUUGAACAUGCUUUAUUCUACAUGUAGCUACAUAUUGUAUUUAAUUCUCUCAUGGUUGUUGUCCAGUUGUAUGCUAAAACCUGAGCCAGUUAGCUAGCUAAGGUAUCUAUUCACUGCAGUGCUGUUACAAUGGCUAGAUUUAGCUAACUUAGCACUCCCCUUCCUCUGACUUGCUAUGUUCUGAACAGCUCUUUGAUUGGAGUGAAUGGUCAAGUCAGACAAGGUCCUUGUUGUCUACAAAGAGUUUGUUCUCUGGUGCACUUUAGUUUCAGUCGUCUACUCUGUUUGCUUUUGGCACCAUUUGUUAUAAUUGCACUACAGGCUAAACUCUCACUCAUUCUGCCUAUGUGUGCCAUUACAGAGCAGAGCCAAAGAAGAAGAAAGUGGACCCUCGUAAAGAGCACUAUUAGUGCAAUCCAAAUGCAUUGCUCUGUCCGAAUGUACACCUGAACAGGUCCUUACUCUAUUUGUUCAUUUCCUCUAGGGUGUGCUGUGUUCCUCAGCUUCCCUUUGAGGAGAGUGAAUAACGGGCUCUACUGCUGAAGGAGUGGUCCUGCUACAAACAGACCCAGCACUGGGUUGAGAUGGAGGCAGUAAGUCUGGCUGUGGAGGCCAAGUGAGAUGCUCUGGAGGAGCUGAGGCUGGAGUGAGAGGAGCUCUACAAGGCAUCACUGAGGCCAAACCCCCUGCUCUUCCCUUUCAACCACCAGGGAUUCAGAUUCACGAGGCACCUGAGAGCAAAUGCAACAUCACCAAAGUUUACACCCAGUGAGUGUAACACAUUGUGGGCGUAAUACAUGUUGACAUGGAUGUUCAUCCAUGUUUUCACAUGAUUUGAACGGACAGACAAAAUAUUUGACGAGGAUGUUCAUGAAAGAAGAUGAGACAUUAAAGCUUGCUCAGAACAACA